UUCUCGGACCUGUGCAACAAUAUUUUUAAGCAGCACUUCAGGGUGGGAACACAGCAGAGUACUUAAAUUUAAUGUGUGCCACAGUCAUCUGGGAGAGG
rnacentral:SRP_RNA from 2 species